GGAUAACAAGUGAACUUGGUAUUACGUAGAAUGAGAUUAUGUUAUUAUUAUUUAUUUAUAUUAUUUUGUUAUUGCACUCAUAUUUAGGAUAUAUGAUAUUAGGUUGUGCACUGCAUAUAGAAUCCGGGCAAUAAAAAUUUAAGUUAAUACGAGCCUACUAAAGAUUGUUUAGUCAACUUUUUUCUGUAGAAAUUUCCCACUUCAAUUUUCAACAACCUGAAAAGUCUGGAAUUUGAAAUGAGAAUAUGCUGAACCAAAACUCUGAUUCGCAAAGUAGAAUUUUUAUAGUGCAAUCGCCAAGUUGAGCUAGAACAAGUUUGCAAAAUGCAAUCAAUAAUAUGUUGUAUAUUAUGAUAUAUAUAUAUUAAUGGGUGUCUUAUGACUUGAAACCUAAUACUGACAAAACAAUAUGAUCUUUAAUGCAGCAAGUUCAAUAUUAGUGACAGACCCAUUAGUUAUAAUACAUACAAUAAAAUAAACUCUCGGUUUUUAAUGGGCACUUGCGGAACCCUAGAUCACUGCAAACCCCGAUUGAAAACCUCUGCGUUUAAAAGUAGUUGACGAUUACUCAUCUCCAUAAUCUUAAAAUCAAUUUAUUUGCGGAUUCUAUUUUUUCAAUGCGGUAGCUUUUUUUAUCAAUAUUCACUUCACUGGUUCUCAAAUUUAACACUUGUCGUUUUAUUUUUUAUACAGACAUUCAUUUCAUGAUGAAAAUAUUGUGUGCAAUUUAUUUGGAGCGUAUAUCAUUCUUAGUUUGCAUCUACACUUUGAUUAGCCAAAGAGUGUGUUUGGGUGUCUUGCGGCAUUGAUCUAGCUCCACUCUGUUAGAUUAGAUCAUUACACAUGUAAGCUGACUGGCUCUUCUCCGUGGGUAACAUAACUUGGAGUAACAACCGCUUCAAACAAAUCAGCAACGUGGAAAAACUGCGG